UGGGGAAUUUUGGACAAUGGGCGAAAGCCUGAUCCAGCAAUGCCGCGUGUGUGAAGAAGGCCUUCGGGUUGUAAAGCACUUUUGUCCGGAAAGAAAUGGCUCUGGUUAAUACCUGGGGUCGAUGACGGUACCGGAAGAAUAAGGACCGGCUAACUACGUGCCAGCAGCCGCGGUAAUACGUAGGGUCCAAGCGUUAAUCGGAAUUACUGGGCGUAAAGCGUGCGCAGGCGGUUGUGCAAGACCGAUGUGAAAUCCCCGAGCUUAACUUGGGAAUUGCAUUGGUGACUGCACGGCUAGAGUGUGUCAGAGGGGGGUUAGAAUUCCACGUGUAGCAGUGAAAUGCGUAGAGAUGUGGAGGAAUACCGAUGGCGAAGGCAGCCCCCUGGGAUAACACUGACGCUCAUGCACGAAAGCGUGGGGAGCAAACAGGAUUAGAUACCCUGGUAGUCCACGCCCUAAACGAUGUCAACUAGGUUGUUGGGGGAUUCAUUUCCUUAGUAACGUAGCUAACGCGUGAAGUUGACCGCCUGGGGAGUACGGUCGCAAGAUUAAAAGCUUAAAGUG
rnacentral:rRNA from 1 species